UGCCCCCCGAGAGGGUUCGGCCCUCGGCUGACGGCUCNGUAACACGUGGAUAAUCUGCCCUUAGGUGGAGGAUACCCUCGGGAAACUGAGAAUAAUACUCCAUAGAUUUAGGAUGCUGGAAUGCACCUAGAUUGAAAGUUCCGGCGCCUAAGGAUGAGUCUGCGGACUAUCAGGUUGUAGUCAGGGUAAUGACCUGACUAGCCUACGACGGAUACGGGUUGUGAGAGCAAUAACCCGGAGACGAUAUCUGAGACACGAUAUCGGGCCCUACGGGGCGCAGCAGGCGCGAAAACUUCACACUGUGCGAAAGCACGAUGAGGGAAUCCCAAGUGCCAGCUCGCAAGAGUUGGCUGUUUCUCUGUCUAAAACACAGAGAGAGUAAGGGCUGGGUAAGACGGGUGCCAGCCGCCGCGGUAAUACCUGCAGCUCAAGUGGUGAUCGCUAUUAUUGGGCCUAAAACGUUCGUAGCCGGUUUAGUAAUGCCUGGGUAAAUCGUGUAGCUUAACUAUACGAAUUCCGGGUAGACUGCUAACUUGAGACUGGGAAAGCUAGAGGUACUCCUGGGGUANAGGGAAAUUCUGUAUCCUGGGGGGAC
rnacentral:rRNA from 1 species